rnacentral:misc_RNA from 1 species
GUGAAUCAUCGAAUUUUUGAACGCAAAUUGCACUCUCUUCGAAGAGGAUGCCUGUUUGAGGGUCAGCCUAAGAAAAUCGACGUAGUCGCUGUUUCGCGUUGGCAUUCGUCGGUAAUUGAGUCAUCUUAAACCAUGGGGUGUUUUAAGCUGCUUAGAAUUUUCUGUACGAUUCCACUAACGUUUCUGAAAUUUUACUGCUUACACACAUUUA